GCCUAGUACACACUCUCUCUCUCUCUCUCUUUCUCUCUCUCUCUGUGUGUGUGUGUGUGCGUUUGAGAGAGAGAGAGAGAGAGAGAGAGAGAGAGUCAUCCUAGACC